GACAGAGAGGAGGGAGAGACAGACUUCAUCACUGACUCCAGACCUGAGGACAAACUCAUCUGAAGAACCACUCACACCAAUUCAAAGAGGAUGAUUGAUUCUGCACAUUCUAUUGGAAGACGUGAGGGAAGUUCUCAUCUGACGAAAAGACGACUCGGACCCGCCCAGACCAGACCUUGACUGUGAACUGCUCGGCAGGAGACAUAUCGUAAGUGAACAAUAGAGGGACACAUCUACUGACUUUUCAGUAAGUCAAUUUAAAUGAAUUUUUAUUUAAAAAAAAAAAAAAACAAUAAAACUAAACCUUAAAAAUGAAGUAAAUGGAAAGAUACCAUAAUCUUAGAGAGAAGGCUAAAGACGUGGGCAAGAAUAGCCCCGUUGUCUAUGGGCAUUGAUGUGUAGUGUCUACGUGGUCUGAGAGCCACAGGUAAAUAGUAAAUAGCGCAAGGUGUUAUUAUAUAUGCAUAGGAGGUAACUGCAAGAGAACCAUUGAAGAUGCAGAUGGAGUACUACUGGGUGUGUUUGGGCACUAAGGGAAUGUGGAUGUGUGAGUAUGGGAAUGACAUGUUAACCCUUCAAUGCUUCUCCCUAAAGCAGAUGCCGGUGAAGACCAUGACUGUGACCUAGCCAUUGCUGUUGACUGUAGGUUGGACUUGAGAGACACCACGUUAGACUAAUGACUAAUACACCUUUUUCCCCAGAACAGGUUGUCCCUGCAAGGAACGGAGGAAGACAUUGUAGAGAAUUGUGUCUCCCUCCCCAUAACAGUGUUCUUAGGACUCUCUUCCCACGGGUGAAGGCGUCUAUGCCGAACCUAACAGGUGGGGCCGAACACUGUUUGAACCCAGGUGAUUCCGUGGUGGUCAAAGACUUCAGGAGAAAGAGUUGGAACGACCCCCGUCGAUAUCAAGUUCUUCAAGACCACCCCCCACUGCGGUGAAGGUUGCUGAGAGAGAAACCUGGAUCCACGCGUAGCACUGCAGACGAGCUCCUGAUCCAGGAGAAGAUGAGGCCUCCUCUGCUUUAGCACAGGAAUGCUAAUAGGAACAGCAGGCUGUCUUCUUGUAAGAAACCCGACAGAGGGUCAAAUGAGUCCUGAGCCAAAGGGGCGAACACAGGCCUGGAGUAGUGGCCCAGAAGUAGAUGGUCACCGUAGAAGGAGAGGCCUGCUGGGCCCUCACAACCAGGAGGACAAUUUGUUCUUAUCUAGAGCACAAAUGGUUGCCAACCUGACAUUCAAAGGAAAGGACUGCUGGGUGUGUGGGUUGAGUCCGGGGAAGGUUGGGGCAGGCUUCCCCCUUGUAGGAGUCCCGAUAGGGGUGAACUUUACUAUAGCGUUGGCAGGAAAAAUACCUUUUUACACUAUGACCAACAAUGUUAAGGUAUAUAAUCAACCCAAUAUAUUCUGUUAUGUGAGACCUGAUAGUGUUUCACUCCCACCCAUUUCAGUGGCUGCGGUGACGACUGCCCCUUGGUGUAUUAGGGGAUAUGGAGAUCACUAUUUGGGUGAAUUCAAAUGUAAUUGUACAAUGAAUAUUAAUGGAUCAAAUGCUUGCAAUUUAAAGGUGAUACAGGAGAAUGGCCAGGCUGAUAAAGAACCGUUUACAAUUUGGUUUGACAAACAUAGAACAACUCUGAGAGGAGCCCCUAAUGGCACCUACUGGUUGUGUGGUAAGAUGGCUUACCAUAGCCUUCCCCUGAACUGGGGAGGUACUUGUACUGUUGGGUUUGUGGUGACAGCAAUGAGAACCGUUCCAAACAAUGACCAGAAUCUGAAGGCUCUCUUCAGAGACUACAAACCUCCUGGGACGAGGAGAGAUAAGAGGUCUCUGGCCGACGGCACUCACACUCAGGCACCUGCCUCCAGGUUCUUUGACGGGUUUGUCCCUGGGUAUGGAGUUGCCGGCGCCCAAGACCAAAUCCGUGAUAUCUCUAGACACGUAGAGAAAAUUGGCAAUGCGACUCGAAAUGCACUGGAACAAUUGAAUGGGGAACUAAAAGAAUUGGCUGAAAUGACUCUUCAGAACAGAGAGGCUCUUGACUAUCUUCUGGCAGCUCAAGGGGGCACUUGUGCAAUCAUAGGCGAUGAAUGUUGUACUUUUGUCCCAGGUCGCUCUUCUAAUGUGACUGAUCUUGCCCAAUACAUUGUCACUGUUGCUAGAAAUUAUUCCCCACAACUAGAGCGGACGCUUGCAACUUGGUUGGAGUCCCUGUUGGGAAGUUGGGGAUCUCAUAUUGCCCAAUGGGCUGCAGCGUGUGUUUUUUGAUUAGGCUGCAUAAUUCUAUUAUUAACAGGCUGCAAGGCUAUCUAACAGGCUGUAAGGCUAUCUAACAGGCUGUAAGGCUGUCUAACAGGCUAUAAGGCUAUCUAACAGGCUGUAAGGCUGUCUAACAGGCUGUAAGGCUAUCUAACAGGCUGUAAGGCUGUCUAACAGGCUGUAAGGCUGUCUAACAGGCUGUAAGGCUAUCUAACAGGCUGUCAGGCUAUCUAACAGGCUGUAAGGCUAUCUAACAGGCUGUAAGGCUCUCUAACAGGCUGUAAGGCUAUCUAACAGGCUGUAAGGCUCUCUAACAGGCUGUAAGGCUAUCUAACAGGCUGUAAGGCUAUCUAACAGGCUGUAAGGCUCUCUAACAGGCUGUAAGGCUCUCUAACAGGCUGCAAGGCUAACAGGCGGUAAGGCUAUCUAACAGGCUGUAAGGCUAUCUAACAGGCUGUAAGGCUAUAUAACAGGCUGUAAGGCUCUCUAACAGGCUGUAAGGCUCUCUAACAGGCUGUAAGGCUCUCUAACAGGCUGCAAGUCUAUCUAACAGGCUGUAAGGCUAUCUAACAGGCUGUAAGGCUAUUCUCCCUGUGUAAUACGGUCUCAGCGUUUAAUGCUCUUCAAGGGGAUGGUGAGCUACCGAAGCUGGAUGAGCUUCCCUUUCCCACUGUAGAUUGAGACGAUGAGUAAUAACUGAAGGUUGCUUUUGUUUGACAAGUUUAGAAGGUUUAAAGUUGAGUUAAUCAUUUAUAUUAAAACACCAUUGUGGUAAGAGCUAUGGAAACAAUGGUUAAACAUCGAGCUACAAAUCCCUUGUGUGUGUAUUUUUUUGAUAGAUUGACUAAUAGAAGUAUAACCUUGACUGUAGAUUUUAGCUUUAUUAUGAUGAUAGUAUUUCCGUAAAUGAACUUGUGUGAUGAAGCAUGUGUGUCAGUGUAAUGAAGCAUGUGUGUCAGUGUAUGAAGCAUGUGUGUCAGUGUAAUGAAGCAUGUGUGUCAGUGUAUGAAGCAUGUGUUUAAGUGUAAUGAAGCAUGUGUGUCAGUGUAUGAAGCAUGUGUUUAAGUGUAAUGAAGCAUGUGUGUCAGUGUAAUGAAGCAUGUGUGUCAGUGUAUGAAGCAUGUGUGUAAGUGUGAUGAAGCAUGUGUGUAAGUGUGAUGAAGCAUGUGUGUAAGUGUAUGAAGCAUGUGUAUGAAGCAUGUGUAAUGAAGUAUGUGUGUGAGUGUGAUGAAGCGAAGGUCUUAAUUUAAACCGUUUUACUGCCAUGGCUUUACAAGUGUUAGACUUAUGGAAUACGGAUAAUUUAUCAUUUCGAUUGUACAACCCAGAAUGAAGGGUUUGAAAGGAUAAAGUGGCGUUUUUAUGAGUUGAUUUCAGUGUUUUUGAUAGGACCUCCUUUGAUAGUUUAAGCCUUUAAUCUAACGUCACCUUAACAUGUUACAACAGUUAUCACAGAGUGAUAAGAGAAGAUGUGGUGGGAAAUGUUGUUGUCUGAAGAGAAGCCUUGCAUUGUACAUCUUGGUCUUGUUCUCUCUCACUAUAUGGUGGUUUGUGCAGGUGACUGUGACCUCCUCAGACCAAUUGGUAGAACAGCCCAGAAUAUUUUCUGGGAGUUAAGAUAGGAGACAUUUGGUUAAUUUGUUUUAAUUGUCUCAUUUAUAGUUUUUGUUGACAACGAUUUUUAGGUCGUUGACAAUGAUUAUUUUUGUCAUAGUUAUUAUUGACAAAAGGAACACUGUUUGACAGGGCAUCAUUAUUUAACAUUGAUUUUAUUUUACGAGGCAAGGCAGUUAAAAACAACUUCUUAUUUUCAAUGACAGCCUAGGAACAGUGGGUUAACUGCCUUGUUCAGGGGCAGAACGACAGAUUUUGACCUUGUCAGUUCGGGGAUUCAAUCUUUCAACCUUUCGGUUACAAGUCAAAUGCUCUAACCACAAGGCUACCUGCUGCUGUUAAAGGCAUAAACCAAAACACGUGUUACGUGUUACUGUGUGUUCAAUUGAGACAUAUUGCAACGAGAUUAAGUCUGUAAUACCACCUUGUUUCAAGCAGACCACCAUAGACCCUGUGCCCAAGAACACGAAGGCAACCUGCCUAAAUGACUACCAACCCGUAGCACUCAGGUCCGUAGCCAUGAAGUGCUUUGAAAGGCUGGUAAAUGCCCAUGAACAAGGCAGUUAACCCACUGUUGCCUAUCCCAGAAACCCACUAUCCCAGAAACCCACUAUCCCAGAAACCCUAGACCCUGUCCAAUUUGCAUACUGCCCAAACAGAUCCACAGAUGAUGUAAUCUCUAUUACACUCCACACUGCCUUUCCCCACCUGGACAAAAGGAACACCUAUGCGAGAAUGCUGUUCAUUGACACAUUUCAACACCAUAGUACCCUCAAAGCUCAUCACUAAGCUAAGGAUCCUGGGACUAAACACCUCCCUCUGCAACUGGAUCCUGGACAUUCCUGACGGGCCGCCCCCAGGUGGUGAGGGUCGGUAGCAACACAUCUGCCACGCUGAUCCUCAACACUGGAGCCCCCGAGAGGUGCGUGCUUAGUCCCCUCCUGUUCUCCCUGUUCACCCACGACUGCGUGGAUAUGCACGACUCCCAACACCAUCAUUAAGUUUGCACAUGACAAGAGUGAUCACCGACAACGAUGAGACAGUCUAUAGGGAGGUGGUCAGAGACCUGGCCAGGUGGUGCCAGAAUAACAACCUAUCCCUCAACGUAAUCAAGACUAAGGAGAUGAUUGUGGACUAGAGGAAAAGGAGGGCCGAGCACAUCCCAAUUCUCAUCAAUGGGGCUGUAGUGGAGCAGGUUGAAAGCUUCAAGAUCCUUGGUGUCCACAUCAACAACAAACUAGAAUGGUCGAAACACACCAAGACAAUCGUGAAGAGGGCACGACAAAGCCUAUUCCCCCUCAGGAAACUGAAAAGAUUUGGCAUGGGUCCUCAGAUCCUCAAAAGGUUCUACAGCUGCAACAUUGAGAGCAUCCUGACUGGUUGCAUCACUGCCUGGUACGGCCACUGCUCGUCCUCCGACCGCAAGGCACUACAGAGGGUAGUGUGUACGACCCAGUACAUCACUGGGGCCAAGCUGCCUGCCAUCCAGGACCUCUAUACCAGGCGGUGUCAGAGGAAGGCCCUAACAAUGGUCAAAGACCCCAGCCACCCCAGUCAUAGUCUGUUCUCUCUGUUACCUCAUGGCAAGCAGUACCGGAGUGCCAAGUCUAGGACCAAAAGGCGUCUCAACAGCUUCUACCCCCAAGCCAUAAGACUCCUAAACAGGUAAUCAAAUGUCUACCCGGACAAUUUGCAUUGUGUUCCUCCCCCAACCCCUCUUUUACACUACUCUCUGUUUAUCAAAUAGGCACAGUCACUUUAACUAUACAUUCAUAUACAUACGAGCACAUUGGCGAACCAGUCUAUCUGCAUUGUGUCCCACCACACUCCAACCCCUCUUUCAUGCUACUGCUACUCUCUGUUCAUCAUAUACGCAUAGUCACUUUAACCACAUCUACAUGUACAUACUACCUCAAUCAGCCCGACUAACCGGUAUGUAUCCUUGCUACUUUUAUAGCCUUGCUACUGUAUGUAGCCUCGCUACUGUAUAUAGCCUCUCUACUGUAUAUAGCCUCGCUACUGUACAUAGCCCUGCUACUGUAUAUAGCCUCACUACUGUAUAUAGCCUCACUACUGUAUAUAGCCUCGCUACUGUAUGUAGCCUCGCUACUGUAUGUAGCCUCUCUACUGUAUAUAGCCUCUCUACUGUAUAUAGCCUCGCUACUGUUAUUGCCCUGCUACUGUAAAUAGCCUCACUACUGUAUAUAGCCUCAAUACUGUAUAUAGCCACUCUACUGUAUAUAGCCUCUCUACUGUAUAUAGCCUCACUACUGUAUAUAGCCUCACUACUGUAUAUAGCCUCUCUACUGUAUAUAGCCUCUCUACUGUAUAUAGCCUCACUACUGUAUAUAGCCUCACUACUGUAUAUAGCCUAUCUACUGUAUAUAGCCUCUCUAAUGUAUAUAGCCUCUACUGUAUGUAGCCUCUCUACUGUAUAUAGCCUCUCUACUGUAUAUAGCCUCUCUACUGUAUAUAGCCUCUCUACUGUAUAUAGCCUCACUACUGUAUAAAGCCUCUCUACUGUAUAUAGCCUCUCUACAGUAUAUAGCCUCACUACUGUAUAAAGCCUCUCUAAUGUAUAUAGCCUAUCUACUGUAUAUAGCCUCUCUACUGUAUAUAGCCUCUCGACUGUAUAUAGCCUCUCUACUGUAUAUAGCCUCUACUGUAUAUAGCCUCUACUGUAUAUAGCCUCUACUGUAUAUAGCCUAUCUACUGUAUAUAGCCUCUCUACUGUAUAUAGCCUCUCUACUGUAUAUAGUAAUAAUAACCUUUUUGCACUGUUGGUUAAAAAAAAGCCUGUAAGAUCUACACCUGUUGUAUUCAGCAUUUCACUGUGAGGUCUACUACACUUGUUGUAUUCAGCAUUUCACUGUGAGGUCUACUACACUUGUUGUAUUCAGCAUUUCACUGUAACGUCUACUACACCUGUUGUAUUCAGCAUUUCACUGUGAGGUCUACUACACCUGUUGUAUUCAGCAUUUCACUGUGAGGUCUACUACACCUGUUGUAUUCAGCAUUUCACUGUGAGGUCGACUACACCUGUUGUAUUCAGCAUUUCACUGUAAGGUCUACUACACCUGUUGUAUUCAGCAUUUCACUGCGAGGUCUACUACACCUGUUGUAUUCAGCAUUUCACUGUAAGGUCUACUACACCUGUUGUAUUCAGCAUUUCACUGCGAGGUCUACUACACCUGUUGUAUUCAGCAUUUCACUGUAAGGUCUACUACACCUGUUGUAUUCAGCAUUUCACUGCGAGGUCUACUACACCUGUUGUAUUCAGCAUUUCACUGUGAGGUCUACUACACCUGUUGUAUUCAGCAUUUCACUGUGAGGUCGACUACACCUGUUGUAUUCAGAAUUUCACUAUACGGUCUCUACACCUGUUGUAUUCAGCAUUUCACUGCGAGGUCUACUACACCUGUUGUAUUCAGCAGUUCACUGUAUGGUCUCUACACCUGUUGUAUUCAGCAUUUCACUAUACGGUCUCUACACCUGUUGUAUUCAGCAUUUCACUGUGAGGUCUACUACACCUGUUGUAUUCAGCAGUUCACUGUAUUGUCUCUACACCUGUUGUAUUCAGCAUUUCACUGUACGGUCUCUACACCUGUUGUAUUCAGCAUUUCACUGUACGGUCUCUACACCUGUUGUAUUCAGUAUUUCACUGUAAGGUCUACUACACCUGUUAUAUUCAGCAUUUCACUGUGAGGUCUCUACACCUGUUGUAUUCAGCAUUUCACUGUAAGGUCUACUACACCUGUUGUAUUCAGCAUUUCACUGUACGGUCUCUACACCUGUUGUAUUCAGCAUUUCACUGUAAGGUCUGCUACACCUGUUGUAUUCAGCAUUUCACUGUACGGUCUCUACACCUGUUGUAUUCAGCAUUUCACUGUAAGGUCUACUACACCUGUUGUAUUCAGCAUUUCACUGUGAGGUCUACUACACCUGUUGUAUUCCUUAUUUCACUGCGAGGUCUACUACACCUGUUGUAUUCAGCAUUUCACUGUAAGGUCUACUACACCUGUUGUAUUCAGCAUUUCACUGUAAGGUCUACUACACCUGUUGUAUUCAGCAGUUCACUGUGAGGUCUACUACACCUGUUGUAUUCAGCAUUUCACUGUGAGGUCUACUACACCUGUUGUAUUCAGCAUUUCACUGUGAGGUCUACUACACCUGUUGUAUUCAGCAUUUCACUGUACGGUCUCUACACCUGUUGUAUUCAGCAUUUCACUGUAAGGUCUACUACACCUGUUGUAUUCAGCAUUUCACUGUAAGGUCUACUACACCUGUUGUAUUCAGCAUUUCACUGUAAGGUCUACUACACCUGUUGUAUUCAGCAUUUCACUGUAAGGUCUAAACCUGUUGUAUUCAGCGCACGUGAAAAAUAAACUUUGAUUUGAUCGAG